rnacentral:rRNA from 1 species
AUUGAACGCUGGCGGCAGGCCUAACACAUGCAAGUCGAACGAGUGGCGGACGGGUGAGUAAUGUCUGGGAAACUGCCUGAUGGAGGGGGAUAACUCCUGGAAACGGUAGCUAAUACCGCAUACCAUCAGAUGUGCCCAGAUGGGAUUGGCUUGUUGGUGGGGUAACGGCUCACCAAGUCGACGAUCCCUAGCUGGUCUGAGAGGAUGACCAGCAACACUGGAAAUGAGAGACGUUCCUGACGUCUACGUGAGGCAGCAGUGUGGAAUAUUUACCAAGGGGCGCAAGCCUGAUUCAUCCAUGCCGCGUGUAUGAAGAAGUCCUGCGGGUUGUAAAGUACUUGCAGCGGGGAGGCGUUACCCGCAGAAGAAGCACCGGCUAACUCCGUGCCAGCAGGCGCGGUAAUUC